UGCUGCCAUGGUUACACAAACACUCAAGGCUGUCUCCAAGGAUACUUCUGUAACAUCAUGAUCCGUCUGGCUUUUUUAAAAAAAAAAAAACAUCCAUGUACACUUUCGGCACUUUCUUGGCCCAGGCGAUCAUGUGAACGAGCUCCCUGUCGGCCAUGUUGGUGAGCAGACUCAUUAUGGUGAGCUCGCUGUAGGGUCGGCUGUGUUUCUGUCGUGAGCACAGGGUGGGCGGCUCCGCCCGCAACAGCAGCAGCAACACCUGCUCCGGAGACAUGCAGACCACGUCCGCUACCCCUCCCCCGAUCCCGGAGCUGCUCUGCCCGUCCUGUGGAAGCGCUUCUCUCACAUCAGAACCGCUCUGGGCUUUGCUAUAACCUCGCUCCCGCUCCUUCAGUCCACUCGGCCUUCUGUUGUGCUUGAUGAUGCGACCGCCACGCUCCUUACGAAAACCUAAAGAGGGACAGAGUGUCAGACUGAUCGUUUUAUAUACACACACACACACACACACACACACACACACAUAUACAUAUAUACACAUAUAUAUAUAUAUGCCUACGUAUUUAUCCUAACCUUUAUCCUUAAGAGGAAAAAUCUACCCCUAAACUUCAUUUAUUUACGUUGUCAAUUUUCAUUUUAGUUUCCGAUGGCUUUCUGCAUUACCCACAAUGCUGUUCGACUACCUGUUGACUACACUGAUGUUACAAAAUAAAUGUAGAAUUCGAUUUCCAUCCUUAAACACACACACAAACAGACGUAUCAUUGUAGAUGUUACGUAAUUGCCGCCCACUGAUUGACACACCAAAAAGGGUGGGGUUAAAUUUCAUCGGCCAAUCGCAAGUUUCUUUUGUUUCAAUCCUCACUAACUUUUGUUUCUGUUUUCUUUUAUACUGUCGUGGUUGUCUCUGCCAGGAGGUUAAGACUUGGCUCUUUUUCUUUGGCCGUUUCUCAGAGGGAUCUUUCAGCAAGAUGAUGACCCAAAACAUACGCCGAUUCACCACAGAAAUGGUCGCAGACAAUGACCAUGAACUUGAACUGAAGACUAAACCACAUACACAGAGCUAAGAGAGAGUUUUAAAUGUUGUGCACUGAAGAGUGUCUAAGAUCCUCUUUAAGUGUGUGUAAUGUUAUACGAUAGAGUACGAGACUCUACGAGUGCUGUUCUUCUCUCCAGUAGAGGGAAAGGGCGUGAGGGGGGCGGGCGUUACUAAUAAUUAAAGGGAUAGUUUGCCCUCAUAUUGUUCCAAAACUGUAUGACUGACUUUCCUCUGUGGAACACAAAAGAAGAUAUUUUGAGAAAUGCCCAUUGAGAAGUCAAUGGGCACCAAAACUGUUUGGUUACCAACAUUCUCAACCAAAAUAUCUUCCUUUAUGUUCCACAGAAGAAAGAAACGUAUACAGGUUUGGAACGACAUGAGGGUGAGUAAAUGAUGACAGAAUUUUCAUUUUUGGGUGAACUACCCCUUUAAGAACCUAGUGUUUUCCAACAAAAUAAAGGAACUAUGUACGAAUGCAUAUUGUUGCCGAUCGUAAUCAGGGGUGCCAAUAAUUGCUGCAAAGAAAGCGCCAGCUGUCUGAUUUCUGACAGGAUGGAAUUAUCUGACAUUACGUUCUACAAUCUGCAGUUUCCCCCAACGCCAGCAAUAAUCCUAACAGCGUUGAUUUGAGCGUAACACGACCGCCGAGGCUUCAUGCUCUUUCACUCUGAUUCGGCUCUUUUUUUUUUUUUUUUUUUUUUUUUACCCGACGAAGGAAAUGAGC